rnacentral:tRNA from 1 species
ACCUGACUGGCUCAGUCUGAAGAGCAUGUGACUCAGUCUCGGGGUUGUGAGUUCGAGUCCCAUGUUGGGUA